AAGUCGUAACAAGGUUUCCGUAGGUGAACCUGCGGAAGGAUCAUUAGUGAAAAACAGGGUGUCUUCGGACCCCAACCUCUCACAUCCACACACACCUGUGCACCUGUCGGCAAUUCAAACAAGGAAGGUCUCACGAUCAACCAAGUUUGAGUUGUCCUUUUUUAAACACACUUUUUGUCCUUUGGAUGUAACCUUCUAUUGUUGUAAUGACAUUGAAACAAAAUAAAACUUUUAACAACGGAUCUCUUGGCUCUC
rnacentral:misc_RNA from 1 species